GCAGGGUUAUAUCAGAGGCUUAGAUUAUCACUUUCCGAGUCGAGCAUGGUUGUUCUUUUACAGCCACGACUGUUCUGGUGAGGGUCGUGGGUUCGAAUCCCACACUCUGCU